CACAGACUGAGUGGGGAUCGAAAUUAUGCCCAAUGGCAUGGCCCAGGCACUGAGGCACUUGCUACCCGCUGUACCACUGUGCUGCUCCGACAUGGUGAGUGGACCUGAAAAACGGUUACGACAUUUAAGGAAGGCAGCAGAUGCACAUAAAUAAUCCAUUCUUGAUACAGGGAGGUAGUGUCAAAAAAUAAGGACACAGGUACCUUCUGAGUCCCUGUCAGUGCAAUGAAUGCACUUUAAGUACACUUUAAAUCCUUUAAUAUUAAUCCAUUUGCGGGAAAGUCUGGUCCCACCAGCCAUGGAAAUUCAAGCUCCAAUAGUUUAU
rnacentral:ncRNA from 1 species